GGGAGGGGGCACACACUGGCCCCCACCCCAACCCCACCCCAUUGGCACACACAGGUACCUCCUUCCCCUUCCCUCUCGCUGAGCCUGAGCCCCCCCGCGAGGGUCUGGGUUGGGCCCGUGCCCCCCCCCAGGGGGGAGGAGGAGGAGGAGGAGGAGGAGGGGAUCCCCCCCCCAAUUUCAGCCGCCCCCCCCUGAUGGAAAGGAUGGGGAGAGCUCCCGGACCCCCCCCCCACAGCACACAGGAGCAGUGGUUGGGGGCUGCAGCGCUGCAUCCCCCCCAGUUUGGUCCCGGCCCAAAGUUGCCCCCCCCAGAAGCGAAGGCGAAGCGGCGGCCCCUAUUGCUGCACAACGACCCCAGCAUCCUGGGUUAUGCGCUGCACUGCCCUGGGGGAGAAGUGGAGAUGGUGGAGGACUUCUGAGUGCCCCCCCACCCCAAGACCCCCAUCUUUGCCCCCCCCCCCCGGCGCCCCAUAAGCACCUUAACGGCCGCCACCACGACCGACCCAGCUGCACUUUAGCGCCGGAGCCGCCCCACUGAGGACAUUAUAUGGGGGGGGGGUCUAAGAACAAAUCGCCCCCCCCCCUCAUUCCCCCCAUCAGCUCCAUGGCAAGG